UCCCGGCGGCCUUCCUCGCUUUCCAGGACCCUGUUCACCAGACAGGCAGCAGGGUGAGUCCCCUGCCCCUACCUCUGCCAGCCCUGGCCUGGCAGGUCCUAUGUGAGGACCUCUGGUCUUCCCCAAGUGAGAGUGGGUCACCCCAAACCUCCAGGUGAGAUCUGUCUCCCCUAUAUCUCAGCUCACAAAAGGCUCGAGCUGGAGGGAAGGUGCUCCAGAGUCUGCGAGUAGGGGGCUGAGUGGAGCCCUCCAGGUCUCUCAGUCUCUCCUGCGUCACUUUGGGCUGGCCAGCCCUCAUUUUCCCUUUGUGAACUUGGACAUUGGUCAAGGCACUGUCCUGGCUGUGACCAGCGUGGGGAUCCAGCCACCCCUACCCUGUCUCCAGAAGGAGCUUCUGCUCUGAGCCAAAGCAGCCUGUUUGGGAGACUCGGCUUUUUCCGGGAGCCUCAGGAAUCCAUCUCUCCUGGGGCCCCACCCCAUGACUUUUUCAGAUCAGCAGGGGACUGAGGAGCCAGGUGGAACCCAGGUCCCAUGGGAGGACUCUGCUUUUACAUGGGUCUGUCCUUAAGCAGUGAUGUGGCCUAGCUCAUGUCACUAAACCUCCCAGGCUCCAUUUUCUCCUUUGAAACAAGAAUGGUUGCUGGGGCCCCAAGCUCUUUGGGGAAUGAGCUGAUGACCCAUUUCCCAGAUUGAGGAAAUUCACUGGGAUAGUGCCAUUUGUAGUUCUAUAGGGAGGGCAGGCAGCUUAGAUCUGGGCUAACUCUGGCUGGGGUCUGGGGUGGGAAACAUUGCCCAGGGCACCUGAUAGUCAAGGCCUAGACAGAUGGAAAAGGCUCCUGGAGAGGCUAGGCUGGCAAAUACAGGUUUCUACAAGGUUUUUAUCAGCCUUCAGAUAAAUACACUAAUGACAUUCAGAACAUUGUUAGGGCUCAGAGAUAUAAUCCAUUACUGUCCUUUGCCUUUUGGUAAUUAAUUCCAGCAUCAAUGAUCUGAGGGUUACUGAUAGUCAUUUUUUAAUCAUCAUCUCAUAAAAAGAUAAUUUUCUCAGCAUAGGAUGAUAUUUCAAAUUUAGUCUGUAAUCUAAUUAAUUGGCUCAAAUUAGCUGCAAGGAGCCAUCCCUGAGGCUCUGCAGUCUCAGGCUGUGAAUUAUAAAUCAGCUCUGCUUUUGGCCUCUCUAGUGCAUCCUUUAUGGGGUUUUUUUGGGUUUUUUGAUACAGGGUCUCACUUUGUAGUUCUGGCUGGCCUUGAGCUGACUACCCCAGGUUGGCCUUGAACUCAUCAUGGUGAUCCUCCUGUCUCAGCCUUCUGAAUGCUAGGAUGAUAGGUCUGCAGCACUAUGUGUGGCUUCAAUGUGUCCUUUAUGGAAGCCACUGGGUUCAGGAAUGAAGCUUGGCCAGGAUAGAACUGUCUCUACUUUGAGAGCUAUCAGCUUGUGUUCUCUCUGUUCAUAUUUUAUUUCCCUAAUUGGUUCCACAAGCUGUUAGCUCCCCUCUGACUGUGCUACAGAGGUUGGCUCUUGGCUUGGUGGUGGAAAGUUCUGAUUCCCUUCACCCUACUGGCAGGGCUUUACAUGGCCCAGACUGGCUGCUGGAUCAGGAAGCAUCCCUUUGAGACAGCAGGUAGCUCUGAGACUGCAAGCUCAUCACCAGGUCUAUGACAUCUUCCACCUGCAUGAGAGCCUGAGGCUGUCAGAGUUGGAGAAGCAGCUCCCACUGCAUGGAAGCCCUCACUGGCCUGGCCUGAGCUGAGCUGGCUCUUGCAUCCCUUCCCAGCUUGCAUCUCUCUAUCAUAAGAGUCAGGUUCUUGGCACUUCUUUCAUACUGGGAGCUGGCGUGGAUGGGGUCCCCACCUGGUACUUACUUUUGCAGAUUGUCAGGGGUGCACACAUCCUCAUCAUAGAGGCCAUUUGUGUCCAACAGGGUACCUAAGGGUGAGGGCAAGAGUGAUCAUUGCAGGCAGGACCCAGCCAGGAGGUGGCCUCCAUGGGCUUGGGGCAGCUGCCUGGGGCCUUGGGGGCAGGUCCUGGUGGUCCCUCCUUAGGGAGCCUGUAGGGACCCCAGCCACCCACCAGCCCCUCCUGGGCCCAGCUCACCGAUGGCCCACGGCUUCUCCUCCCCAGGCCCCAGGCGGCAGGGGUCCUUGUAACGUGUAAACAGGGAGUGCUGCUGCUCCAGCUUGUCAUCUGUGGGAGGAAGGAGGUGCUAUGGAUUGUCACCUGUCCCUUAUAUAUUUGCCUCUGGGUGGGUUCUUUGUUUCCACAAGUGGUCCUGGGGUCAUCUGUGACUGGUUUCGGUGUCCUUGAAAAUGUACCCUCUAACACACCCCCCGCUUUACCUCCCCUCUGAGAACAAUGAUCACUGUCCCUCUUGGGCUCUAGGGGACAGUGAGCUCAAGGUCACAGAUCCUGUGGCAAAUGUGUGAGGCUGGCCUGUGCUGUCCCAGACAGGAUUCCUGCCCUCCUCACAAUCCGGUAUCCAGCCCUGAGGGAGGGGCCACCCCACAAGGCAGAGAGAGGGAGGUGUCCUCCCCAGGCUCCCGUUUUUCCUGCCAACUGAUUGAGCCAGAUGGUCGUUUCUGUGGCACUGGAGGGAAGGGCACUGAGGGGCCCGACCAGGUGGGAUUCCUCCUCCUGAUACCCUCUACCUGUAUGUGCUGUGUCCUUAUCCUGACUCAGGUAUCCCAGCAGCAUCAGGCACAUGACUGUGACAGAGGAUGCAGGCCAAGGAGGCUUAGAGCCAGCCCAGCCCCCAGAAGAUCCUUGUAAAAUCAGUUAUUUAAAUCAGUAUUUCAAAUUUCACUUAAAAAAAAAAAAGUACUGGUGUUUCAGCCCAGGACCUUCACACUGAACUACAUUCCCAGUUUUUUUUGUAAUCUUGAGACAGGGUCUCUAAAUCACUAAUUCCCCAAGUUAGGAUUGAACUCUUGAUCCCCCUCCCUCUGCUGAGAAUGCUGAGAUCUCCCUCUCCCAGAAUGCUGAGAUUACAGGUGUGGGUUACCAGGUCUGGCAGUAAUGAUGAACUUUUAAUAUUACUGGAGCCCAUAACCUGUCUAAAAGUUAAGGCAUGAUUCCCAGGGUUCAGAUUCCCAUUCAAGCAUUUACUGGCUGUGUGACCUUCAGGAGUUACUCAACCUCUCUGAGUCCCAGCUUCCUCUUCCACACCAUGUGGAUAAAUACAAUGCCUAGCUCAUAGUGUUGUUAAAAGAUUUAAAUGAAACAGCAGGAAGAAACCCUGCCUGGUGCACUGUAAGCACUAAAUCAGCCAGUUCUCCCUUAGUCCAAGUUUCCCAAGCCCCAGCCUCCCUCGACACGGGUUCAUUUUUUAGGGCAUCACUUUGUCUCCAGCAAGGGACCGCUGAGCUUUCAAGGUAGAGUGUCUGCUCUUCUGCUCUAGCUUUCUUGGAGGGCAGAGACUUCGUUCAUAGUCUGGCUAAACUUCCCACACAUGCACUCCUGAGGAGCAGGAAGUUCUUCGAGCUGCCUAACCCGACUGGAGCCCAAGCAGCUCGCAGAACCCAGGUCCGAAGGGAGGAGUGCGGCCUCACCUGAGGAGCAAUUGUCAAAGUUCAGAUCUCCGCAGAUGACGUCAAACGCCACCAGCUCCUCGGGGUUGGCUGUGCUGGAGGAGGAGGUAGAUUUUCGGAAAUCAGCCAGCCAGUCCUGAAGCAGGUCCAGCUGCUCACAGCGGAUGGCGCUGUCCUCUGCAGGGCAGAGACCAGAAAAUGAAGCCUGUGCCAGGGCCCAGGCGCCAGUCCCACUGUUGGGAAGCUGCAGGCUGCGGUGACCUACCUGGUAGGGCGUGCAGAUGUGUGCAGGCGAUGUACCCAACGAUUCUUUGGUCCUGAGGUGUGCUUCCCACCUGCACCUGGGGGCGAAGCUGGGCAUCAGUGUCGCCACCUACCGGCCACCACUGGGACACUGGCCACGUCCACUCACGCUCUUAGGGGAACCCUCUGAAGCCCUGCUCGGUAGACUCGGGCCCAGGUGAAGACAGAAUACGUCCUGCUCCUGGGAGUUACACCUGACUGUGGAGACAGGCCGGAUGCAGCAAGGAAACUGGCUCACGUGGCUUCAUCAUGCCCUCGCACCUCUGCUGCCCCUGGAUCUCUGUCUUCGUCUCCUUUACCAAGGACAGAGUUGUGGGAGGAGGGGAGUACUGCACCAACCCCCAUCCAACUUGCAGGUGAUCCUGGCAGGCUGUCUCCAGAUGUUGGCUAAUAAACAUGGAUGUCUCAGUUGUAUGUUACAUUGUACUCAAGGCAUCCCGACCCAGGAUGGUAACCCCUAGCUCAAGUUUGGGCCCUUGUCAGUCCUGUGAUUGGGGGCAGUGAAGGGUGGCCACAGAGGGAUGCCCUCCAUGCCAUCACCUGGCUGCCUGAGGGCUCUCCUGGGCCCCCUGAUCACAGAACAGUCAUGGGAGGCCACUGGAGACGUCCUUUGCUGGGCUGCUCCCCAGGGACACCAUGCGUAUCUGUCCCCAGAGGCCUCUCUUAGCUCCUCAUUCUCCGUGAUGAGCCUGAGCCACCCUCCCCAAACUUUGCUAGUGCAUUCUAGACUGGAUUUCUUGUGAUGUUGAGAUCCCAGACCCAGAGACUCUCCAGGGAGGUGGGCUUAGAGGUCUAGCUGCUGUUCAGUCAUUGGCUGAGGGUCCCACGGUAGCCACGUCACAGGCCCCAGGGCCCCAGCUGGCCUCCAUCUUUCCUUUUGCUCCUGAAGCUGAGUAGUUGUUAUUUUCCAUCUGGAUGGACCCCUGGCUUUUACAGCUUCUCCCUCACCCAGCCUGGAUGCCCAUCUUCCCUUCUCUGGUGUUUGUGGUAUAAAUGUCCCAGUAUUUGGUAAUGGGCUUUGUGGCCUAAAUUUGUUUUUUUUCCUAAAAUAACAUCUUCAUUCACUUCUCCAUAUCCCAGAUCCAAACUGCAGCCUAAUUGUAUGUCUGCCCCGGGAAAGCUCUGAAGUCACCCACCACUGAUGUGCCAUUGAUAUGCCUAUUGGAAAAGUGCCGCAGUCAGAAAGGGCACAUGAUGCCAAUAUGGCCCCGGUGUUCCUUAGGCAACAAGUUCCCCUCAGUGGGAGCACUUUGGCUCUGUGCUUCCCCAUAUCCACCAUGAGGACACUAAAAGCCUGCCGUUCUUACAGACAAGUACACUGAGGCCCAGGGAAGUGAACUCAUGUGUCUCAACUUGUGGCUCAGAUGGGCAAGGUGGGAGUGUGCCAGAUCUGUUGGCCACCACAGCCUUUCUGAGCUGCCAGUGUCUUCGCUGGCUUCUCUCCAGCCACCCAUUUGUUGAUCUUAAUGUCAGCCUUUCCCUCACUCAGCACUUAGCACUUAGCACCUGCCCUGUGCUGAGUCCUGGCCAGGGACGGGACACCUGUAGAAAGGCAUUGGACCGGCCCUGGUGCUCAGGAGAAGGCAACCAGAGGGAAGAUGCCGCCUCACACACCCCUGGAUCUCGCCAGGACCCACUUUGUUAUUUGCUGGGACUUACUGAUUCCUGGCUUGUGUCCUUAAUAGCCACAGAGUCUUGUUUUUCUUUUUUUUUUUUUUUUGAUACCGGGGA